UUCUGGUCGUGCGAUCCACAGAGCCAAGAAAGAGCUCUCAAAAGUUCAACCCUAACUCACAAAAUUGAUCAAAUUGAGAAGGCAAUUCAAGUUCAAAUCAAAAACCAAGAUCAAUCUAGUGAUCACUCAAGUGAGGGGAUCUCAAGGCAAGGAAUCGAGUCUUCAAGCAGACAAGUCAGAGCGGACACACGCUUGAAGGGAACGCUUUAAAGGUGAUGUUCGUCUCGUUCCGGAUGCCGAUCAAGUAAGAAUGCAAGAACCGAACACAAACUUUUAAAGUUUCCGUGUCAACCAAGUCUUUGUUUUAAAAUAAUGUCGUUAUGUAAACACUACUUAAUGUUGAAUGUCUUAAACUAGCUAGUUCAUUACGUUAAAACACUACUACGAUGUACAUCUUAGUUAUUAACUAAAUUUUGAUAAUUAUGCA